rnacentral:rRNA from 1 species
CCUACGGGGGGCAGCAGUGAGGAAUAUUGGUCAAUGGGAGAGAUCCUGAACCAGCCAAGCCGCGUGAGGGAAGACGGCCCUAUGGGUUGUAAACCUCUUUUGUCAGGGAGCAAAGGCGUCCACGUGUGGACGAGAGGAGAGUACCUGAAGAAAAAGCAUCGGCUAACUCCGUGCCAGCAGCCGCGGUAAUACGGAGGAUGCGAGCGUUAUCCGGAUUUAUUGGGUUUAAAGGGUGCGCAGGCGGAAGAUCAAGUCAGCGGUAAAAUUGAGAGGCUCAACCUCUUCGAGCCGUUGAAACUGGUUUU